rnacentral:rRNA from 1 species
UACGUAGGUGGCGAGCGUUGUCCGGAUUUACUGGGCGUAAAGGGAGCGUAGGCGGACUUUUAAGUGAGAUGUGAAAUACUCGGGCUCAACUUGAGUGCUGCAUUUCAAACUGGAAGUCUAGAGUGCAGGAGAGGAGAGUGGAAUCCCUAGUGUAGCGGUGAAAUGCGUAGAGAUUAGGAAGAACACCAGUGGCGAAGGCGAUUCUCUGGACUGUAACUGACGCUGAGGCUCGAAAGCGUGGGGAGCAAACAGG